rnacentral:rRNA from 1 species
CACGCAGGCGGUCAUACAAGUCAGCUGUUAAAUGCAUGGGCUUAACCGAUGCAUGCGGUUGAAACUGUAUGGCUAGAGUACUGGAGAGGUAAGCGGAAUUCCCGGUGUAGCGGUGAAAUGCGUAGAUAUCGGGAAGAACACCAGUGGCGAAGGCGGCUUACUGGCCAGUAACUGACGCUGAGGUGCGAAAGCCGAGGGGAGCGAACC